UACGUAGGUGGCAAGCGUUGUCCGGAUUUACUGGGCGUAAAGAGCGCGCAGGCGGUCGUUCAAGUCGCGUGUGAAAGCCCCCGGCUCAACUGGGGAGGGUCACGCGAUACUGAUCGACUGGAAGGCAGGAGAGGGUAGUGGAAUUCCCGGUGUAGUGGUGAAAUGCGUAGAUAUCGGGAGGAACACCAGUGGCGAAGGCGACUACCUGGCCUGUUCUUGACGCUGAGGCGCGAAAGCUGGGGGAGCAAACGGGG
rnacentral:rRNA from 1 species